AAUCUUAGAGACACUUUCAAAAUUUUGGAAAAUAUUUUGUGACUAGCCAACUUCUUGAAAAUUCACAUAUGUAUUAAAUCUUUGGUUGUUUAGGAAUUUUGGUUGGUUCUGAGACAGAGGCAUUAAGGAUGUUGGGAGAAUUCAUUACCAGAGGACUUGUGUUGGUUCUUGGGUAUGCAUACCCUGCCUUUGAGUGUUUCAAAACCAUGGAAAAGAACAAAGUUGAGAAGGCAGAGCUUCAAUUUUGGUGUCAAUAUUGGUAUGAGGAAGCAAGGAGGAGGAAAAGCUGCGUAGUCAACGGGAGGAUUUCAGUGACAUGAUUGCCGAGGUGUGCAUCUUUCACAAUCUUUUUGAUUUUGUACUUGUUUUAAUUAGUAUUUAUGGACACUUUUGUUCUGAUGAGGUGGAAUUUUUCAAAAUGAGAAGAAGAGGAAACGGAAAAUGCAGAAAAAGGAUGGAAAAUCGAAGAAAAAGGAUUUCAAGUUCUAGGACGUGCUGCUGGUUUUGUGAUCGGAAUGUUAGAAUGCUAGAUCCAUUAUGCUUUUCUUAGGCACCUGUAAAUUUUUAUCAUUCGGAAUCAUAAUUGUUGUGUGUCCAUUGCCAAAAAUGUAGUCCCAUUCCAUGGAACCAAACACAGCCUUGGUGUUAUGGGUUUGGUUAAUGAGAAAUUUGUUGGUGAUUUUAUAUGCUGCUACUUUCUAUUUCCCCAUUACUUAGGAUGGAAAAUAUGUUAUAUAUUAAAGUUGCUUGAUGGAUUUCA